AAAAACUACUUCCACAUCCGGUCGGUAAACAUUCUCACGGUCGGGAGACAUGCUUUUCAACAACUUUUCAACGUAAUGUUGGUUAGCAAUCUUAUGCUUCGUCGUUUAACUAACGUUACAUUUUCAGUAAGUGACCUUGUUAAGCGGCAGCAUAAGUAAGUUCAUCUUUACCCAUCUUACCAAAACAAAUGGUUCGCCAACUUAUGCGCUCCGAUCUCCGCGCACAGUUCAGCAAAACAUUGCUCAAAGAUGGCGGCUUUGGCGACACCGGAAGUGGAAACUGAAGGCGGACGCCCUCUCGUUGGGCGGAUGAAUACUUGAUAGAAUUUCGGGCUACGGGAUGUUGUUCGAAUUUAAUAGUCGACAGCUAUACAAGUCCUCAAUAAACAAACAAACAUGUGAUUUCCAUUUUUAGUAUUUUAGUGAUUAACUUUAUGAUAAACCUAAAGGGACACUGGCGUGUGCGAUGAAGUCGUAGGGGGCAGUGACGCAUAGUAAAAGACUGCACAACAUGACUAUGUUAAGAAUCAUAAUUGGGCCCAGUAAUGUAUGUUUGAUGUUAGUUACGCGUAAUGUUCGCCGCGGAAAGAUGAGUUGGACGGAUAAUACGUGGCCUUUAAUCUGUGCACAUGAACUCAUUGAGGGUGGGCCCUAAAUUUUAAACUAUGAUCUCAGUAUUUAGGUGCAGGAGUGGGAAGCGUGGCUAUUGUCGUUUUGAAUGCUGCAUAGGUCGCAAAGAAUGAAGCGAAUUUAUCGCUGAAUAAUGAUUAUUUUUAAAGAUCCCAUACUGGACAGGAAUUUUUACAUAAUUUUGGAGCGAUAAACAGGUAUUUGCAAAGAUUCAUUUUGGGCCCAGAUUAGAAGUCAGGUUCUCUCCCUGCCCCGUUACUUGGUGGAUUUCAGUGCCGUGGCUUGUCUAAUAAAAUCUGAAUUUGG